GGCCGGUUAGCUCAGUGGUUUGAGCGCGGUGCUGACAACAAUGACAACACCAAGGUCGCGGGUUCGAUUCCUGCUCGGUCC
rnacentral:tRNA from 1 species